rnacentral:tRNA from 3 species
UUACGCGUGGCGCAAUGGUAGCGCACCUCAUUCCUAAUGAGGAGGCUGCGGGUUCGAGUCCCGUCGUGUAAG